rnacentral:tRNA from 1 species
AUAAAUUAAUUUAAUUAAAAAUAAUAAUUUUGUAAAUUAUAUUUAAUAUACAAAUUAUUUAUUUAUA